AGGCCUACACCGACGCUGGGCGGACACAAGUUGUGCAGCUGAACAGUGAAGUGAGACUGAACCAGAGGAUCUGGGUAGAGCUGGAGACUAAUGGGCUGGAUGGAAGCAUGGUCACUGUGGUGAGCGACUCCUGCUGGGCAACCAACCAGGCAUCACCUACCAGCAGUCCAAGACAUGAUCUGAUCAUUAAUGCUGUGCGAACCCCGCUGACCUGACAGUGGCAGUGGAGGAAAACGGACUGGGAACCUCCACCUUGUUUUCGUUCAACAUGUUCUGGUUCACUGGGGGUUCUGGUGAAGUCUACCUGCACUGCAAACUCCACCUGUGUCCCAAAGAGGAGACCAGCUGCAUACCGAAUUGUAAUGCAGCAGCUCGCAGACGCAGAUCAGUUGGAUCCAAAUACGAAGGUGAAGCCUCCAUCGGCAAGUCCUGGACUCAUUAGGUAACUUCAGGUGACAAAUCUAAUGAGUGGUGUAAGAAGUAAGAUUGGCUGCGAACAGAAUCACGAGAGGGCAAGAGUGGUUUCCAUGCUGACUACGACUGAAUGACCAGUUGCCGACCAAAUGCUGAACAUUGUUUUUGAGGACAGUGUUCAGCAGACACACAGAGCAACACUACUUUACUCCAUCUUCUUUAUUCAAUUUUAUUUAUAUAGUGCCAAUUCACACCAAAAGUUGCUUUGAGGCACUAUAUAUUGUAGAGGCCCUACAAUUAUCUUUAUUGUUGUACUUUCUGCCAAAAAAAAAUAAAGAAUGUGGCAACAACCAGCCUGAGUUUGAUCCUUGUUUUCUGGCUCAAACACCACUCAGGUAGAAAUCCAGUAAUUAUCCAGCUGACGAUUUCUCCUUUUACGCCACCUAAUAAAGUCAAAAGCAUACA